GACGAACGCUGGCGGCGUGCCUAAUACAUGCAAGUAGAACGCUGAAGGAGGAGCUUGCUUCUCUGGAUGAGUUGCGAACGGGUGAGUAACGCGUAGGUAACCUGCCUGGUAGCGGGGGAUAACUAUUGGAAACGAUAGCUAAUACCGCAUAAGAGUAGAUGUCGCAUGACAUUUGCUUAAAAGGUGCAAUUGCAUCACUACCAGAUGGACCUGCGUUGUAUUAGCUAGUUGGUGAGGUAACGGCUCACCAAGGCAACGAUACAUAGCCGACCUGAGAGGGUGAUCGGCCACACUGGGACUGAGACACGGCCCAGACUCCUACGGGAGGCAGCAGUAGGGAAUCUUCGGCAAUGGACGGAAGUCUGACCGAGCAACGCCGCGUGAGUGAAGAAGGUUUUCGGAUCGUAAAGCUCUGUUGUAAGAGAAGAACGAGUGUGAGAGUGGAAAGUUCACACUGUGACGGUAUCUUACCAGAAAGGGACGGCGAACUACGU
rnacentral:rRNA from 1 species